UACGGAGGGGGCUAGCGUUAUUCGGAAUUACUGGGCGUAAAGCGCCCGUAGGCGGAUUGGAAAGUCAGAGGUGAAAUCCCAGAGCUCAACUUUGGAACUGCCUUUGAAACUCCCAGUCUUGAGGUCGAGAGAGGUGAGUGGAAUUCCCAGUGUAGAGGUGAAAUUCGUAGAUAUUGGGAAGAACACCGGUGGCGAAGGCGGCUCACUGGCUCGUAUCUGACGCGCAGGUGCGAUAGCGUGGGGAUCAAACAGG
rnacentral:rRNA from 1 species